GCUGUAGCUCAGUGGUAAAGCAUCUGCUUUACAUGCAAAAGGUUCUGGGUUCAAAUAAUGUCUCUGGGGAAAGCU